GCGACCCCAUGUCAGGCGGGACUACCCGCUGAGUUUAAGCAUAUCAAUAAGCGGAAGAAAAGAAACUUAC
rnacentral:rRNA from 1 species